CCGGUGCUAAUACUGAAUAUUGAAACAUAAGUGGCAUCACUGAGUUUUGAAAGAAUUUCGGUGGAGGAUGACUUCGCGGCCUAUCAGCUAGUUGGUGAGGUAAUGGCUCACCAAGGCAACGACGGGUAGCCGGCCUGAGAGGGCGACCGGCCACACUGGGACUGAGACACGGCCCAGACUCCUACGGGAGGCAGCAGUGGGGAAUAUUGGGCAAUGGAGGAAACUCUGACCCAGCGACGCCGCGUGCGGGAUGAAGGCCUUCGGGUUGUAAACCGCUUUCAGUAGGGAAGAAGCGAAAGUGACGGUACCUACAAAAGAAGCACCGGCUAACUAUGUGCCAGCAGCCGCGGUAAUACAUAGGGUGCAAGCGUUGUCCGGAAUUAUUGGGCGUAAAGAGCUCGUAGGUCGUUUGUUACGUCGGAUGUGAAAACCUGAGGCUCAACCUCAGGCCUGCAUUCGAUACGGGCAAACUAGAGUUUGGUAGGGGAGACUGGAAUUCCUGGUGUAGCGGUGGAAUGCGCAGAUAUCAGGAGGAACACCAAUGGCGAAGGCAGGUCUCUGGGCCAAUACUGACACUGAGGAGCGAAAGUCUGGGGAGCGAACAGGAUUAGAUACCCUGGUAGUCCAGACCGUAAACGGUGGGCACUAGUUGUGGGAACCUUCCACGGUUUCUGCGACGCAGCUAACGCAUUAAGUGCCCCGCCUGGGGAGUACGAUCGCAAGAUUAAAACUCAAAGGAAUUGACGGG
rnacentral:rRNA from 1 species